AGGACAUGGCAGAAAAUGGCUAGGACAGGCAGCCACAGACCCCAGCAGCCACAGGACAGCCGGACUGAGGAGGACCAGAGGGCACCAGGCACAGACCCCACACACGUACAGUCAUCUCAAGUUCUUUCAAUGAGGGAAACAUCACCAACACACUCACAAGUAUUGGGCCUGGUGAACAACCCGAGGCCCUGAAGAUCAGGCUCUCCCCAGCCCUCCUGGAGCCAAACCACCCACGGCAGCCAAGUGACAGCACCCGCAGAGCUGCCCGAGCCUCUGGGAGGUCACGGGGAGGAAGGGAAGACGGAAACACCGUGACGGCCACUUCUGCCUAAAUCGUUAGGAACUAUUUCAGAGUCCCUGCAACCUGAAACGGGGAUUCUCCACACACCUCCACACGGCCAGCAGCGCAGUAAUCGCUUUUAAUUAAAUAAAUCGG
rnacentral:lncRNA from 1 species